GACGAACGCUGGCGGCGUGCUUAACACAUGCAAGUCGAACGGAAAGGCCUUUUCGGAGGUACUCGAGUGGCGAACGGGUGAGUAACACGUGGGUGAUCUGCCCUGUACUCUGGGAUAAGCCUGGGAAACUGGGUCUAAUACCGGAUAGGACCGCACUUUAGUGUGUGUGGUGGAAAGUUGUUUCGGUGUAGGAUGAGCCCGCGGCCUAUCAGCUUGUUGGUGGGGUAAUGGCCUACCAAGGCGGCGACGGGUAGCCGGACUGAGAGGUUGGUCGGCCACAUUGGGACUGAGAUACGGCCCAGACUCCUACGGGAGGCAGCAGUGGGGAAUAUUGCACAAUGGGCGCAAGCCUGAUGCAGCGACGCCGCGUGGGGGAUGACGGCCUUCGGGUUGUAAACUCCUUUCGCCAGGGACGAAGCGUUUUGUGACGGUACCUGGAGAAGAAGCACCGGCUAACUACGUG
rnacentral:rRNA from 1 species